UUUACACUAAUCAGUUGUGCUUUCUGAUUGAGGGUUGUGUACGACGAGCUACGAUUUUACGAAUACAAAACAUAGGUGACAAGCGUAGCAUGCUGUGACAUCUCCGAAGAGCAGGACCCUGCUGGAACGGUACAGACAGGCACGUCACUGAAAUCCACUGCCAGGCAUGCAGGCAGCAGGGAUGUGCAUACCACAGCUGUGCAGUGCAUUCAGGGACCAUUUGAGGUUUGGAAGUGCCUCCCUGUUUGCAAGUGGUCUUGAAAAUCACCGGUGUGGAAUUGUGGGUCCACAGUAUCCUAACAGAGCCGUUUACCUUCUCUGCACUGGGGUUCCUGUCCGCU